GACGGAAGGUGCAAGCGUUGCUCGGAAUCACUGGGCGUAGAGGGUGCGUAGGCGGCUUCGCAAGUCAGGCGUGAAAUCCCCGGGCUUAACCUGGGAAUGGCGUCUGAAACUACGGAGCUGGAGUGUGGCAGAGGGAGGUAGAAUUCCACGUGUAGCGGUGAAAUGCGUAGAUAUGUGGAGGAAUACCGAUGGCGAAGGCAGCCUCCUGGGCCAACACUGACGCUCAUGCACGAAAGCGUGGGGAGCAAACAGG
rnacentral:rRNA from 1 species